AUAGACGUAGAUGGUUUAUAUCCAACAACUUUGAAUAAUGAUCUGAUUCAUUGAAUUGAUAAGAUAGUAACUUUUACAAAUCCUAUCAAGGUAGAGUUUUUAGGUUAUGUAGCUAGUGUUUCAAAAUGUUGAUAUUAUUUUCAACUAUCUUAAUAUUCUCACUUGUUUCUAGCGAAACUGUAAUUUUGGAGGAAUGCAUGAAAAACGCCCAAAAUGAAUUCGACAACGCAUUGUUGAAUCCUCCUAAAUUUACAGUAUCCGAUGAAUUUAAAGACAUCAAAGAUCUUAUAAAUCUUAUUAAAAUAAUAAUUUUCGACAUAAAACCAACAAAAAAAUUAGACGAGCUAUUUGGCGAUGCUGUAAAUAAAUUGAAGAAACUACCAAAUCAAUUGAAAUUAUUCCGAGAAGCAUACGACGUUCUUAAAAAAAUUGAAGCAAGCGCCGAUAAAUUACAAAAACAAAAAGUGUUUAACCAAGACACUGAAAAAACUUGCUCUGCAGCUAAAAAUAGAUAUGAUAAUAUUAGUAAGGACCUAGAAGAAGUUCGAAAACUGGGAUCACAAGUGAAUGCAACAAUAGUUAAAUGGAAUAUAGAUAGAAUAAACGAAGAAAGUUUCAAAGUUAAAAAAUCGUUGGAUGAACUAAAAGUUCCAAUUAAUCUCGAUGAAAAAUAUUUAUGUGAAAAAAACAUACUGGAAAUAUUUAAAGCGAUCAAAGAAGUAUCUUUUAAUAUAAAAAAACUGUUGGAAAUAAUAAAAGAAAAUAUCAGAUCAGAAUUACAAGAGCUCACGAAUAAAUUAAAGCCUCCUCCAAUAAAUGAAGAUAUACCCGAUAUGCCUUUCACUAAACUACAGUUACAGGAUGCUAUCAAAUAUGUUAAACGAAACUUGAAAAAAGUAAGUCAUUUAUAAUUAUGCCUUGGUCAAUUAUAUCACAUUUUAGUGCUUCUUUGAGAUUUUCGCUUUUGUGAAUUUAAUAUUAUUGAGGAAAACCAAAUUCACCUUUUCGGAAAAGCGGAAAAAUUGCGUGAUUUAAUAGAAAAGAAGAAAAUAACCGAAUCUGAUUUUGAAAAUCUUGAAAAAAUCGUAUGUAAUCUCCACAAAAACGAUGUUUGUAAAAUUGUUAUACCUGUACCUGUUGAAAAUUAAUUUUUUUGUAAUAAAUUUAUUAAUUAAAUGGAAUUUAUACCA